GGAGGGCUGUAGCUUCGUGGUAGAGCAUCUGCUUUGCACACAGAAGGUCUCUGGUUCAAUCCUCAUCAUUUCCA